GCGGGCGUAACUCAGUUGGUAGAGUAGUAGCUUCCCAAGCUAAAUGUCGCGGGUUCGAGUCCCGUCGCCCGCU
rnacentral:tRNA from 1 species